rnacentral:rRNA from 1 species
CCUGGUUGAUUCUGCUAGUAGUUAUAUACUUAUCUUAAAGAUUAAGCUAUGCAUGUCUAAGUAUAAGCAAUUAUAUAGCGAAACUACAAAUGGCUUAUUAUAUAAGUUAUUGUUUAUUUAAUAGUACCUUACUACUUGGAUAACUGUGGUAAUUCUAGAGCUAAUAUAUGCUAAAAAUCCUGACUCUAGAAGGGAUGUAUUUAUUAGAUUAAAAACCAAUGCCCCCUAGGCUCUCUGGUGAUUUAUAAUAACUUCUCGAAUCACAUAGCCUUAUGCUAGCGAUGGUUUAUUUAAAUUUCUUCCCUAUUAACUUUUAAUGUUUGGGUAGUGGCUAAACAUGGUUGCAACGGGUAACAGAGGGUUAGGGCUUAACCCUAGAGAAGGAGCCUAAGAAACGGCUACUACAUCCAAGGAAGGCAGCAGGCGCGCAAAUUACCCAAUCCUAAUUCGGGGAGGUAGUAACAAUAAAUACCGAUAUAGGGCUCUUUUAGGUCUUAUAAUUGGAAUGAGUACAAUUUAAAUCCCUUAACAAGGAACAAUUAGAGGGCAAGUCUGGUGCUAGCAGCUACGGUAAUUCUAGCUCUAAUAGCGUAUAUUAAAGUUGUUGUGGUUAAAAAGCUCGUAGUUGAACCUUGGGCCUGGCUGGCCGGUCCGCCUCACCGCGUGUACUGGUCUGGCCAGGCCUUUCCCUCUGUGGAACCCCAUGCCCUUCACUGGGCGUGGCGGGGAAAUAGGACUUUUACUUUGAAAAAAUUAGAGUGCUCCAGGCAGGCCUAUGCUUAAAUACAUUAGCAUGGAAUAAUAAAAUAGGACACGCGGUUCUAUUUUGUUGGUUUCUAGGACCGCUAUAAUGAUUAAUAGGGACAGUUAGGGGCAUUAGUAUUCAAUUAUCAGAGGUGAAAUUCUUGGAUUUAUUAAAGACUAACUACUGCGAAAGCAUUUGCCAAGGAUGUUUUCAUUAAUCAGGAACGAAAGUUAGGGGAUCGAAGACGAUCAGAUACCGUCGUAGUCUUAACCAUAAACUAUACUAACUAGGGAUCGGAUGAUGUUAUUUUUUGACUUGUUUAGCACCUUACGAGAAAUUAAAGUGCUUAGGCUCCAGGGGGAGUAUAGUCGCAAGGCUAAAACUUAAAGAAAUUAACGGAAGGGCACUACUAGGGGUGGAGCCUGCGGCUUAAUUUGACUCAACACAGGGAAACUCACCAGGUCCAGACACAAUAAGGAUUGACAGAUUGAGAGCUCUUUCUUGAUUUUGUGGGUGGUGGUGUAUGGCCGUUCUUAGUUAGUGGAGUGAUUUGUCUGCUUAAUUGCGAUAACGAACGAGACCUUAACCUACUAAAUAGCCCGUAUUGCUUUGGUAGUACGCUAGCUUCUUAGAGGGACUAUUGGCUUAAGCUAAUGGAAGUUUGAGGUAAUAAUAGGUUAACUUACACAGG